GGGAGUGAAAUAGAACCUGAAACCCUGCACUUACAAGCUGUGGAAGCACAUUUCGUGUGUGACCGCGUACUUUUUGUAGAACGGGCCAACGAGUUACGUUAAGUAGCAAGGUUAAGCACUUAAGGUGCGGAGCCGUAGCGAAAGCGAGUUUUAACUGAGCGUUCAGUUACUUGACGUAGACCCGAAACCGGGCGACCUACCCAUGAGCAGGAUGAAGCGAAAGUAAAAUGUCGUGGAGGUCCGAACCCACGAGCGUUGAAAAGCUCGGGGAUGACUUGUGGGUAGCGGUGAAAUUCCAAUCGAGCCCGGAGAUAGCUGGUUCUCCCCGAAAUAGCUUUAGGGCUAGCCUCAAGGUGAGAGAUACGGAGGUAGAGCACUGAAUGUCCUAGGGGGUAUUGCACCUACCGAAGACUAUCAAAC
rnacentral:rRNA from 1 species